ensembl:lncRNA
CACCGAGUGGCUACCACUCGUACCAAGAUGAUAGGGUCACAGAGAAAGGUCUGGGGAGAUGACAGUAGAAUGAAAUGGUAUAUGGGAAUUGGUGGAAUAAUGAUGUGUGUUGUGUGUUGUUACAGGUUUCCCAGGUUGGCAUCGGGUCUUCAUUCCCCCAGCGAAGAGGUUCGCGACCCCACCUGAGGACACCUGUUUGAGGAAAUUUGGGGGCAUUGAAUUGGACUAUGUCAAGGGGUCACAUACGAGCAUUCUGGGAUAGAUAAUCCGCUGGAGGAAUGGCUGACCUCGAUGUUUGGCCAGUGGAUAGAGGGCUCGCCAUGAGAGUGAUCUCUACAGCCAUUGAGAAGGCUCCAGGACCGCCACCAGGGAUGCUGAUGCCUCUACUGGAGCAGCAUGACCCGGGAGAACUGGAGCUUGGCGAAUAGGGGUGAUCUCUCUGGGGAGAGAUCAAAAGGGGGAAUUGUAGAUGUAUUGAUUGUAUAAGUUAGUGAACUGUUGUAAGAAAUGAAACAAAAUAUUAAUUGUUUGUAACUGUGUUGAAACUGAAGGUGCAAGUAGGAGAACAGGAAACCCUGUUCAAGUGGUUGCCGGGGAGAGAAAGAUUUAGUAUGUCUGUCUUUUGAGAAACAGGACACAGGUUAGAGACACACACACAUAGUCGGACAGACAACACAGAAACUGCAAGGGGGGCAAGGGGAUACUUGCAGUUAUCCUUACAAGGAAUAGAACUGGGAUUGGACCAAUAGCACACUUGCUUUGUGAACUUAACGACUCUAUCUUUUGGGCGUAGUGGAAGUAUAAAAUGAUGUUUUGACUGUUGAUCCUUAGACAUUGUGCGGCGACACCUUGUCUCCAAAAGCUUUUGUAAAAAACUGAAUAUAUGGUACGCUAAUUGACCUGACUCCUGGUGUUUUUUUCUCCUUUCCAACAAACCAACUCGGGGAAGUGUUGACUUCAACAGCGAGCAGCCAGUCAUCGGCCUUGCCAUUUUGGAGGAUCUCCGCGAUUUUCUCCAA